ACGGCCAUCGGAUUCUUCUGUCCUGUUGGUUUCUCUCUUCCUCCCUUCUGCCCUGGUUUAUGAAGCUAUCGCCAUCACUCAGUACGACAUCGAAGAAGUACAGCAACACUUGCAACCACACAUGUAACAACCCAACAAUCUCGAUGUUGCUUGAUUUCAUCAGUGAAUCACGAACCUUAGGAGAUGCUUCUGUAUCAACACCCAAUUUCCUUUUCUCAUCAGAGACAUUUGAUCAAACAACAAAGCUACUUAGUUUUGGGGUGAAUUCAGAAAGAUAUUCAAGGGAGGAUUGGCAAAGAACAAGCGGUUCUUUGCUUUGCUCAGCUCACUGGCAUUGAUGCAGAGAGGGAAACUCUAUGUUGGAUAUUAUGUGGCUAUGAAGGGGUUCUCUGCUUUGCUUAUCAGCAUUGCAACAUUUCUCCCAUGUUGUGAGAGUCAUGGAUAAAUGUUGCUUCAGAGAAUAAAGAUGGUUUUUCCUUUUCACAGAGACGGAGCUGGUGAUAGUUUUUCUUGGAGAAAUUGAGCUCAUUUGAACAAAUAGGAAUAUCCGAUUGAGCUGGCACCCAUUUGAUCAAAUUGGGGGAUUUGAUUGAGCAAUCAGAGAUCUUUGAAGGAUUGAGCUCCAGGUAAGCUUCUUAUGGUUUAUUGGUUUUAAAUUUUGAUACAUGCAGUUUUGGGUGGCUUUAAUGAAUUUGGGAUCUUCAAUUUUGUUUAGAUUGUGAAACUCUAUAAUCCAAGAAUACUAUCAGCUUGCAUAAUAUGAUAACCAUAUAUCUAAUGGCCUUAUUAAGUGAUAA